AAUCGAUUGUGAUGACAGUUGCUUUGCAGUUCCUGAAACUCCUUCCAUGCCUCAUAGAGUGAAUCACCAUAUUUUUGAGUGACGUUCUGAAUCUCCCUCCUAAGUCU